GUGCUCAUUUCAGCAGCACAUAUACUAAAAUUGGAAUGAUACAGAGAAGAUGAGCAUGCCCCCAGGGCAAAGAUGACACAAAAAUUUAUUAAGUGUUCCAUAUUUUU